UCAAGUAAUUAAGUGCAUGUGGUGGAUGCCUUGGCAGUCAGAGGCGAUGAAAGACGUGAUAGCCUGCGAAAAGCUCCGGGGAGGCGGCAAAUAUCCUUUGAUCCGGAGAUGUCUGAAUGGGGGAACCCACCUACUUUAAGGUAGGUAUUGCAACAUGAAUACAUAGUGUUGCAAGGCGAACGAGGGGAAGUGAAACAUCUCAGUACCCUUAGGAAAAGAAAUCAAUUGAGAUUCCCUCAGUAGCGGCGAGCGAACGGGGAUCAGCCCAUUAAGUUAUGUGUGUUUUAGUGGAACGCUCUGGGAAGUGCGAACGUAGAGGGUGAUAUUCCCGUACACGAAAGGGCACACAUAAUGAUGACGAGUAGGGCGAGGCACGUGAAACCUUGUCUGAAUAUGGGGGGACCAUCCUCCAAGGCUAAAUACUCCUGACUGACCGAUAGUGAACCAGUACCGUGAGGGAAAGGCGAAAAGAACCCCUGUGAGGGGGAGUGAAAUAGAUCCUGAAACCGCAUGCAUACAAGCAGUGGGAGCACCUUCGUGGUGUGACUGCGUACCUUUUGUAUAAUGGGUCAGCGACUUAUAUUCAGUAGCGAGGUUAACCGUAUAGGGGAGCCGUAGAGAAAUCGAGUCUUAAUAGGGCGUUUAGUUGCUGGGUAUAGACCCGAAACCAGGCGAUCUAUCCAUGAGCAGGUUGAAGGUUGGGUAACACUAACUGGAGGACCGAACCCACUGUCGUUGAAAAGCCAGGGGAUGACUUGUGGAUAGGGGUGAAAGGCUAAUCAAGCCUGGUGAUAGCUGGUUCUCCCCGAAAGCUAUUUAGGUAGCGCCUCGGACGAAUACCAUAGGGGGUAGAGCACUGUUUCGGCUAGGGGGUCAUCCCGACUUACCAAACCGAUGCAAACUCCGAAUACCUAUGAGUACUAUCCGGGAGACAGACUGCGGGUGCUAACGUCCGUAGUCAAGAGGAAAACAAUCCAGACCGCCAGCUAAGGCCCCAAAAUCAUAGUUAAGUGGGAAACGAUGUGGGAAGGCAUAGACAGCUAGGAGGUUGGCUUAGAAGCAGCCACCCUUUAAAGAAAGCGUAAUAGCUCACUAGUCGAGUCGGCCUGCGCGGAAGAUGUAACGGGGCUAAAACUAUGUGCCGAAGCUGCGGAUGUAUACUUUGUAUACGUGGUAGGGGAGCGUUCUGUAAGCCGAUGAAGGUGUGUUGAGAAGCAUGCUGGAGGUAUCAGAAGUGCGAAUGCUGACGUGAGUAACGACAAAACGGGUGAAAAACCCGUUCGCCGAAAGACCAAGGGUUCCAGUCCAACGUUAAUCGGGGCUGGGUGAGUCGACCCCUAAGGCGAGGCCGAAAGGCGUAGUCGAUGGGAAAAUGGUUAAUAUUCCAUUACUUCUGUGUAAUGCGAUGAGAGGACGGAGAAGGCUAAAUCAGCCUGGCGUUGGUUGUCCAGGUGAAAGGAUGUAGGCAUGUAUCUUAGGCAAAUCCGGGGUACUCUAUGCUGAGAUCUGAUAGCAAGCUGUACUUGUACAGCGAAGUGGUUGAUGCCAUGCUUCCAGGAAAAGUCUCUAAGCUUCAGUUACACAGGAAUCGUACCCGAAACCGACACAGGUGGUCAGGUCGAGUAGACCAAGGCGCUUGAGAGAACUCUGCUGAAGGAACUAGGCAAAAUGGUACCGUAACUUCGGGAGAAGGUACGCUGUUGUUGGUGAUGGAACUCGCUUCCUGAGCUGACGACAGCCGCAGAAACCAGGCCGCUGCAACUGUUUAUUAAAAACAUAGCACUCUGCAAACACGAAAGUGGACGUAUAGGGUGUGAUGCCUGCCCGGUGCUGGAAGGUUAAUUGAUGGGGUUAGCGUAAGCGAAGCUCUUGAUCGAAGCCCCAGUAAACGGCGGCCGUAACUAUAACGGUCCUAAGGUAGCGAAAUUCCUUGUCGGGUAAGUUCCGACCUGCACGAAUGGCAUAAUGAUGGCGGCGCUGUCUCCAGCAGAGGCUCAGUGAAAUCGAAAUCGCUGUGAAGAUGCAGUGUACCCGCGGCUAGACGGAAAGACCCCGUGAACCUUUACUGCAGCUUGACACUGAACUUUGACCUUACUUUGUGUAGGAUAGGUGGGAGGCUUUGAAGCUGGAACGCUAGUUCCAGUGGAGCCGUCCUUGAAAUACCACCCUGGUAAUGUUGAGGUUCUAACUCUGUCCCGUGAUCCGGGACGAGGACCGUGUCUGGUGGGUAGUUUGACUGGGGCGGUCUCCCUCCUAAAGAGUAACGGAGGAGUACGAAGGUGCGCUCAGCGUGGUCGGAAAUCACGCGUAGAGUAUAAAGGCAAAAGCGCGCUUAACUGCGAGACCCACAAGUCGAGCAGGUACGAAAGUAGGUCUUAGUGAUCCGGUGGUUCUGUAUGGAAGGGCCAUCGCUCAACGGAUAAAAGGUACUCUGGGGAUAACAGGCUGAUACCGCCCAAGAGUUCAUAUCGACGGCGGUGUUUGGCACCUCGAUGUCGGCUCAUCUCAUCCUGGGGCUGAAGCAGGUCCCAAGGGUAUGGCUGUUCGCCAUUUAAAGAGGUACGCGAGCUGGGUUUAGAACGUCGUGAGACAGUUCGGUCCCUAUCUACCGUGGGCGCUGGAAAUUUGAGAGGAUCUGCUCCUAGUACGAGAGGACCAGAGUGGACGAACCUCUGGUGUACCGGUUGUGACGCCAGUCGCAUCGCCGGGUAGCUAUGUUCGGAAGGGAUAACCGCUGAAAGCAUCUAAGCGGGAAGCCUACCUCAAGAUAAGAUUUCCCUAGGACUUUAUGUCCUCUAAAGAGCCGUUCGAGACUAGGACGUUGAUAGGUUGGAUGUGGAAGCAUAGUGAUAUGUGAAGCUGACCAAUACUAAUUGCUCGUGAGGCUUGACUA
rnacentral:rRNA from 1 species